GCCCACGUAGCUCAGGAGGUAGAGCACUUCCUUGGUAAGGAAGAGGUCAUCGGUUCAAAUCCGAUCGUGGGCU
rnacentral:tRNA from 1 species